UUUUAUGGAGAGUUUGAUCCUGGCUCAGGAUGAACGCUGGCGGCGUGCCUAAUACAUGCAAGUCGAGCGAACAGACGAGGAGCUUGCUCCUCUGACGUUAGCGGCGGACGGGUGAGUA
rnacentral:rRNA from 1 species